AAAACAGUUAUAGCGCCAGAGCUAAGGAAAUCGGACGACACAUAAACCUUAGCUGACGAGGUGGAGGAGUAUCGAAAUAUUCGGCGGAUGCCUCCCGACUAAGCCAAGUCGCAAAAAGUCUCAUGCAAAUCGUGCAAGCAAUUGUGCGGACAAACAUGUUACGACGGCACAAA
rnacentral:ncRNA from 1 species